rnacentral:rRNA from 1 species
UACGUAGGGCGCAAGCGUUGUCCGGAAUUAUUGGGCGUAAAGAGCUCGUAGGUGGCUUGUUGCGUCUGCCGUGAAAGCCCCCGGCUCAACUGGGGAGGGUCACGCGAUACUGAUCGACUCGAAGGCAGGAGAGGGAAGCGGAAUUCCCGGUGUAGUGGUGAAAUGCGUAGAUAUCGGGAGGAACACCAGUGGCGAAGGCGGCUUCCUGGCCUGUUCUUGACGCUGAGGCGCGAAAGCUAGGGUAGCAAACGGG